GAUGAACGCUGGCGGCGUGCCUAAUACAUGCAAGUCGAGCGAACAGACGAGGAUCUUGCUCCUCUGACGUUAGCGGCGGACGGGUGAGUAACACGUGGAUAACCUACCUAUAUGACUGGUAUCACCUCGGGAAACCGGAUCUAAUACCGGAUGAUCUAUUGAACCGCAGGGUGCAAUAGUGAAAUACGGUUUUUCUGUCACUUAUAGAUGGAUCCGCGCCGCAUUAGCUAGUUGGUAAGGUAACGGCUUACCAAGGCGACGAUGCGUAGCCGAACUGAGAGGGUGGUAGGCCACACUGGAGCGUGAACAGCGACCAGAGGCCUAAGGGAGGCAGCAGUAGGGAAUCUUCCGCAAUGGGGGAGAGCUUGACGGAGCAAGGCCGCGUGAGAGACGACGGUCUUCGGUUCGUAAUGCUGUGUUAUUAGGGAAGAACAAAUGUGUACGUAACUAUGCACGUCUUGACGGUACCUAAUCAGAAAGCCACGGCUAACUACGUG
rnacentral:rRNA from 1 species